rnacentral:rRNA from 1 species
AGCGAACGUUUGCGGCGGGCCUAACACAUGCAAGUCGAACGGGCUAGCAAUAGUCAGUGGCGCACGGGUGCGUAACACGUGGGUAAUCAACCCUUCAGCUCGGGAUAACGCCUUGAAAGGGGCGCUAAUACCGGAUACGACGCGAGGAGCUUCGGCUGCUUGCGGGAAAGAUUCGCAAGGAUCUCUGAAGGACGAGCCUGCGGCCCAUCAGCUAGUUGGUGAGGUAAGAGCUCACCAAGGCGAAGACGGGUAGCUGGUCUGAGAGGAUGAUCAGCCACACUGGAACUGAGACACGGUCCAGACUCCUACGGGAGGCAGCAGUGGGGAAUAUUGGACAAUGGGCGAAAGCCUGAUCCAGCAAUGCCGCGUGAGUGAUGAAGGCCUUAGGGUUGUAAAGCUCUUUUACCCGAGAUGAUAAUGACAGUAUCGGGAGAAUAAGCUCCGGCUAACUCCGUGCCAGCAGCCGCGGUAAU